AACGAACGCUGGCGGCAGGCCUAACACAUGCAAGUCGAACGCCCACUUCGGUGGGAGUGGCAGACGGGUGAGUAACACGUGGGAACCUACCUGAUGGUACGGAAUAACACAGGGAAACUU
rnacentral:rRNA from 1 species